GACGAACGCUGGCGGCGUGCUUAACACAUGCAAGUCGAACGGAAAGGCCCGGCGUUUGUGGGGUGCUCGAGAGGCGAACGGGUGAGUAACACGUGAGUAACCUGCCCUUGACUGUGGGAUAACUUCAGGAAACUGGGGCUAAUACCGGAUAGGAGCUCCUGCUGCACGGUGGGGGUUGGAAAGUGUCGGCGGUUGGGGAUGGACUCGCGGCUUAUCAGCUUGUUGGUGGGGUAGUGGCUUACCAAGGCUUUGACGGGUAGCCGGCCUGGGAGGGUGACCGGCCACCUUGGGACUGCGAUACGGACCAGACUCCUACCGGACGCAGCAGUGGGGAAUCUUGCACAAUGGGCGGAAGCCUGAUGCAGCAACGCCGCGUGCGGGAUGACGGCCUUCGGGUUGUAAACCGCUUUCGCCUGUGACGAAGCGUGAGUGACGGUAAUGGGUAAAGAAGCACCGGCUAACUACGUG
rnacentral:rRNA from 1 species